rnacentral:rRNA from 1 species
UAAAAAUGUAAAUUUAAAUUCUUAGGUAGUAAUAGAUAUGUUCUUGAAACUUAAAAAAUUUGGCGGUAUUUUAGUCUAUUCAGAGGAACCUGUUCUAUAAUCGAUAAUCCACGAUGGACCUAACUUARAUUUGUUACAGCUUAUAUACCGUUGUUUUAAGAAAAUUUUAUUAGAAUAAUAAUUUUCAAUAAUUAUAAUUAUAAUUUAAAUCAGAUCAAGGUGUAGCUUAUGUUUAAGAAGAAAUGGGUUACAAUAAAUUUAUUUAUACGGAUUUUUUAUUGAAAUUUAAAAAUGAAGGUGGAUUUGAUUGUAAAAAAUUAAAGAUUAAAUUUUUGAUUUUAGCUCUAAAAUAUGU